UUCCUGACAUUGCCAUGGCAUUUGUAAAUUGUCAUGGCUUUAGUGCAGCAGUGAGGAUUGCCAGAUGUCACUCUUGUGGCCAUCUUGGUUUUUGGUGGGCUAGAGCAGCUUCUUUACUGCAACCUGUUUUAUCAGCAAGGUCUUUAUUACCUGUAUCUUCUGCUGA